rnacentral:rRNA from 1 species
GACGAACGCUGGCGGCGUGCUUAACACAUGCAAGUCGAACGGAAAGGCCCUGCUUGCAGGGUACUCGAGUGGCGAACGGGUGAGUAACACGUGGGUGAUCUGCCCUGCACUUCGGGAUAAGCCUGGGAAACUGGGUCUAAUACCGGAUAGGAGCCAUAUUUAGUGGGAUGGUUGGAAAGUUUUUUCGGUGUUGGAUGAGCUCGCGGCCUAUCAGCUUGUUGGAGGGGUAAUGGCCUACCAAGGCGGCUACGUGUAGCCGCACUGAGAGGGUGGACGGCCACACUGGGACUGAGAGACGGCCCCGACACCUACGGGAGGCAGAAGUGGGGAAUAUUGCACAAGGGGCGCAGGCCUGAUGCAGCGAGGCCGCGUGGGGGAUGACGGCCUUCGGGUUGUAAACUACUUUCGCUAGGGACGAAGCUUUUUGUGACGGUACCUAGAUAAGAAGCACCGGCUAACUACGUG